GACGUAGGGUGCGAGCGUUGUCCGGAUUUAUUGGGCGUAAAGAGCUCGUAGGCGGUUCGUCGCGUCGGCUGUGAAAACCUGCAGCUUAACUGUGGGCGUGCGGUCGAUACGGGCAUCACUGGAGUUCGGCAGGGGAGACUGGAAUUCCUGGUGUAGCGGUGAAAUGCGCAGAUAUCAGGAGGAACACCGGUGGCGAAGGCGGAUCUCUGGGCCAUUACUGACGCUGAGGAGCGAAAGCGUGGGGAGCGAACAGG
rnacentral:rRNA from 1 species